rnacentral:rRNA from 1 species
UUGGAAGUGAAGUCGUAACAGGGUUUCCGUAGGUGUACCUGCGGAGGGAUCAUUC